rnacentral:SRP_RNA from 1 species
GCUGAGGGCUGAUUCUGGGUUUUUGGAUCAAGCGAGUGAGGAUGUUAUUCGAAUCGGAGGAGCUGGCUGGCAGUCAUUCCUGAACCCUGAAACCCAGGGAGAUUACAGUGACAGCGA